GCCGGGCGCGGUGGCUCACGCCUGUAAUCCUAGCAUUUUGGGAGGCCGAGGCGGGUGGAUCACCUGAGGUCAGGAGUUUGCGAACAGCCUGGCCAACAUGGUGAAACCCCGUCUCUA
ensembl:misc_RNA Metazoa_SRP Metazoan signal recognition particle RNA